rnacentral:rRNA from 1 species
GAUGAACGCUGGCGGCGUGCCUAAUACAUGCAAGUCGAGCGAACGGACGAGAAGCUUGCUUCUCUGAUGUUAGCGGCGGACGGGUGAGUAACACGUGGAUAACCUACCUAUAAGACUGGGAUAACUUCGGGAAACCGGAGCUAAUACCGGAUGAUAUUUUGAACCGCAUGGUUCAAAAGUGAAAGACGGUCUUGCUGUCACUUAUAGAUGGAUCCGCGCUGCAUUAGCUAGUUGGUAAGGUAACGGCUUACCAAGGCAACGAUGCAUAGCCGACCUGAGAGGGUGAUCGGACACACUGGAACUGAGACACGGUCCAGACUCCUACGGGAGGCAGCAGUAGGGAAUCUUCCGAAAUGGGCGAAAGCCUGACGGAGCAACGCCGCGUGAGUGAUGAAGGUCUUCGGAUCGUAAAACUCUGUUAUUAGGGAAGAACAUAUGUGUAAGUAACUGUGCACAUCUUGACGGUACCUAAUCAGAAAGCCACGGCUAACUACGUG